CCUACGGGUGGCAGCAGUGGGGAAUAUUGGGCAAUGGGCGCAAGCCUGACCCAGCAACGCCGCGUGAAGGAAGAAGGCUUUCGGGUUGUAAACUUCUUUUCUGAGGGACGAAGAAAGUGACGGUACCUCAUGUAUAAGCCACGGUUAACUACGUGCCAGCAGCCGCGGUAAUACGUAGGUGGCAAGCGUUAUCCGGAUUUAUUGGGUGUAAAGGGUUUGUAGGCGGGAAAAGAAGUCAGUGGUGAAAGCUCAGGGCUCAACCCUGAUCCUGCAUUUGAAACUGUUUUUCUUGAGUGCUGGAGAGGCAAUCGGAAUUCCGUGUGUAGCGGUGAAAUGCGUAGAUAUACGGAAGAACACCGGUGGCGAAGGCAGAUUGCUGGACAGUAACUGACGCUGAGGCGCGAAAGCGUGGGGAGCAAACAGGAGUAGAUACCCCAGUAGUC
rnacentral:rRNA from 1 species